rnacentral:rRNA from 1 species
AUUGAACGCUGGCGGCAGGCCUAACCCAUGCAAGUAGAGCGGAGCGGCGGACGGGUGAGUAAUGCCUAGGAAUCUGCCUGGUAGUGGGGGAUAACGUACGGAAACGGGCGCUAAUACCGCAUACUAUCAGAUGAGCCUAGGUCGGAUUAGCGAGAUGGUGGGGUAAAGGACUACCAAGGCGACGAUCCGUAACUGGUCGGAGAGGAUGACCAGCCAAAUUGGAACUGAGACACGGUCCAGACUGCUACGGUAGUAAGAAGGGGGGAAUAUUGCACAAUGGGCGCAAGCCUGAUGCAGCCAUGCCGCGUGUAUGAAGAAGGCCUUCGGGUUGUAAAGUACUUUCAGCGGUGAGGCGUUACCCGCAUAAGAAGCACCGGCUAACUCCGUGCCAGCAGCCGCGGUAAUAC